rnacentral:rRNA from 1 species
UACGUAGGGGGCAAGCGUUGUCCGGAAUCAUUGGGCGUAAAGCGCGCGUAGGCGGCCCUGUAAGUCCGUUGUGAAAACUCGAGGCUCAACCUCGAGACGCCGAUGGAAACCAUCUGGCUAGAGUCCGGAAGAGGAGAGUGGAAUUCCCGGUGUAGCGGUGAAAUGCGCAGAUAUCGGGAAGAACACCCGUGGCUAAGGCGGCUCUCUAGUACGGUACUGACGCUGAGACGCGAAAGCGUGGGGAGCGAACAGG